rnacentral:rRNA from 1 species
AGGGAUCAUUAUCGAGUUUACUACAACUCCCAAACCCCCUUGUGAACGUAUACCUUUCCAGUUGCUUCGGCGGGUAUAGCCCCGGGGUCAGGUUCGCAAGAGCCUGCCCGGAACCAGGCGCCUGCCGGGGGACCAAAACUCUUGUAUUUCUGUACGAUAAGGAAUGUCUGAGUGGUUUAUAGAAGAAAAUGAAUCAAAACUUUCAACAACGGAUCUCUUGGUUCUGGCAUCGAUGAAGAACGCAGCGAAAUGCGAUAAGUAAUGUGAAUUGCAGAAUUCAGUGAAUCAUCGAAUCUUUGAACGCACAUUGCGCCCGCUAGUAUUCUAGCGGGCAUGCCUGUUCGAGCGUCAUUUCAACCCUCAAGCCCCGGCGGUUUGGUGUUGGGGGCCGGCGAUGGUGUUGGGGGCGAUCUCUUCGUCCCCGCGCGCGCCGCCCCCGAAAUGAAUUGGCGGCCUCGCCGCGGCCUCCUCUGCGUAGUAACAUGUUGCCCCUUCGCAACAGGAGCCCGGCGCGGCCACUGCCGUAAAAACCACCAACUUUUUUCACAAGUUGACCUCGAAUCAGGUAGGAAUACCCGCUGAACUUAAG